rnacentral:sRNA from 12 species
GACCUGUAUUCCGAACUGUCACCGGACGGUGGCGUGUCUAGGACAACUAGAAUAGGAACGUGGUCGGGA